rnacentral:rRNA from 1 species
GUCGGACGGCAGCACAGAGAAGCUUGCUUCUUGGGUGGCGAGUGGCGAACGGGUGAGUAAUAUAUUGGAACGUACCGAGUAAUGGGGGAUAACUUGCCGAAAGGUAAGCUAAUACCGCAUACGCUCUGAGGAGGAAAGCAGGGGACCUUUGGGCCUUGCGUUAUUCGAGCGGCCAAUAUCUGAUUAGCUAGUUGGUGGGGUAAAGGCCUACCAAGGCGACGAUCAGUAGCGGGUCUGAGAGGAUGAUCCGCCACACUGGGACUGAGACACGGCCCAGACUCCUACGGGAGGCAGCAGUGGGGAAUUUUGGACAAUGGGCGCAAGCCUGAUCCAGCCAUGCCGCGUGUCUGAAGAAGGCCUUCGGGUUGUAAAGGACUUUUGUCAGGGAAGAAAAGGUUGUGGCUAAUAUCCAUGACUGAUGACGGUACCUGAAGAAUAAGCACCGGCUAACUACGUGCCAGCAGCCGCGGUAAUACGUAGGGUGCGAGCGUUAAUCGGAAUUACUGGGCGUAAAGCGAGCGCAGACGGUUACUU